UACGUAGGCAGCGAGCGUUGUUCGGAGUUACUGGGCGUAAAGCGUGCGCAGGCGGUUUUGUAAGUUUGUCGUGAAAGCCCCGGGCUCAACCUGGGAAUUGCGAUGAAGACUGCAAGGCUUGAAUCUGGCAGAGGGGGGUAGAAUUCCACGUGUAGCAGUGAAAUGCGUAGAGAUGUGGAGGAACACCGAUGGCGAAGGCAGCCCCCUGGGUCAAGAUUGACGCUCAUGCACGAAGCGUGGGGAGCAAACAGGA
rnacentral:rRNA from 1 species